rnacentral:lncRNA from 1 species
UCCAAUGAAAAAGGGGGGAGAGAAAACAAAAAGGAGAAAAAAGGAGAGCGCACACAAAAAUGACCCUCUCACGUUUCUUUUUCUUCAUAAUCAAUCUCCAUUAGAGAAAAAGCAGCAGCGACACACGACCUCUUUCUCUCCCCUAACCGGUUCUUCUUCUCCAUGAACACGAGAGAGUCCUGAGACGAAAAUCUCCGAACACCAGCAACAACCAUCGCCGUCCUGUUCGAGCUCAGUCGAGA